rnacentral:tRNA from 1 species
GAUUAAAUGGCUGAAGUUUAGGCAAUAGAUUGUAAAUUUAUUUAUGAGAAUCUUUCUCUUUAAUCA